AUGAUGAUGUCAUCUAUUUGUAUAAAUAGCCCCUCGAUGGUUAGUGACGUUCUUCUUGGAGACGGUGCCUUCUAGCUGAGACACCCCUCCACGACAUGCGGGCCAAGUGGAGAAAGAAGCGUAUGCGCAGACUGAAGCGCAAGAGGCGAAAGAUGAGGCAGAGGUCCAAGUAAAGUGCCCCCUCAAACAACACCAUGGCUGUGGCCUAGCUUCUGGAAACAACAUGGGACCAAGAAUCUACCAAAUGCCGAGUCUGACCAGAGCUGUGCUGUCCCUGCUGACAAAAGGCUACUAAUUUGAACUUGGUCAAGAGACUCUAAACCACCUGCCUUGGAGAUUAUUUGAUGUUGGGACAUUCUGGAUUCUCUACACUUAUCAAACCUACCCUACUCUAUUGCUUUUGUUUAUACUUUCCAAUAAAGUUUUUGGUUUAAA